rnacentral:rRNA from 1 species
GACGAACGCUGGCGGCGUGCUUAACACAUGCGAGUCGAACGGAAAGGCCUGCUUUCCCUUGUGGAUUGCGGGUACUCGAGUGGCGAACGGGUGAGUAACACGUGAGUGAUCUGCCCCCAACUUGGGUAUAAGCCUGGGAAACUGGGUCUAAUUCCCGAUAGGACUGCAGGGUGGUGCCUGUGGUGGAAAACGAUUUUCUAGUGGUUGGGGAUGAGCUCGCGGCCUAUCAGCUUGUUGGUGGGGUAAUGGCCUACCAAGGCGGCGACGGGUAGCCGGCCUGAGAGGGUGGACGGCCACAUUGGGACUGAGAUACGGCCCAGACUCCUACGGGAGGCAGCAGUGGGGAAUAUUGCACAAUGGGCGGAAGCCUGAUGCAGCGACGCCGCGUGGGGGAUGACGGCCUUCGGGUUGUAAACUCCUUUCGACCGCGAGGAAGCCACCUGGUUGGAAGGGUGGUGACGGUAGUGGUAGAAGAAGCACCGGCUAACUACGU